GACGAACGCUGGCGGCGUGCUUGACACAUGCAAGUCGAACGAAGAGCGAUGGAAGCUUGCUUCUAUCAAUCUUAGUGGCGAACGGGUGAGUAACGCGUAAUCAACCUGCCCUUCAGAGGGGGACAACAGUUGGAAACGACUGCUAAUACCGCAUACGAUCUAAUCUCGGCAUCGAGGAUAGAUGAAAGGUGGCCUCUACAUGUAAGCUAUCACUGAAGGAGGGGAUUGCGUCUGAUUAGCUAGUUGGAGGGGUAACGGCCCACCAAGGCGAUGAUCAGUAGCCGGUCUGAGAGGAUGAACGGCCACAUUGGGACUGAGACACGGCCCAGACUCCUACGGGAGGCAGCAGUGGGGAAUCUUCCGCAAUGGACGAAAGUCUGACGGAGCAACGCCGCGUGAGUGAUGACGGCCUUCGGGUUGUAAAGCUCUGUUAAUCGGGACGAAAGGCCUUCUUGCGAAUAGUGAGAAGGAUUGACGGUACCGGAAUAGAAAGCCACGGCUAACUACGUG
rnacentral:rRNA from 1 species